UGCAGCAUUUGUGGCAAAGAGAAGGAGGAUGAGUUCCAUGCGACAAUAAAUUGCACAAAAGCAAGAGCACUAAGAGAAGAGAUGAGGGAGCACUGGAACCUACCCGCAGAAAAUUGUUUUCAUUUUUCAGGCAAGGAUUGGCUACAAAACCUGCUGGGGAACGGAGACAUGGAGGACAGGACAAGGAUCCUCCUUCUUCUAUGGAGAGCAUGGUGGCUGCGAGAUAAUUGUGUCCAUGUAGAUGGCAGGGCUACAAUUGGCCAGCCAGUCCAAUUUUUGACGAGAUUUUUGGAAGAAAUCAGCAAAGAAGGAUCAAAAGACUACGUCAGCGAGAAUGACCAACCCCGAGUCGGCCGACAGGGCAAAGUGGACGAAGACCAGCGGCGGGAGGAAAUUAGAAAAGGGAAGAUGCAUACUGGGUUGUGUUCCCGCAGUAAAAAAGGUACACUGUACCAUCGAGGGGAAUCACACAAGCAAUUCUGUGGGGCGAGAAGCAUGCCCUAA
rnacentral:rRNA from 1 species